UGGGGAAUAUUGGACAAUGGGCGAAAGCCUGAUCCAGCCAUGCCGCGUGUGUGAAGAAGGUCUUCGGAUUGUAAAGCACUUUAAGUUGGGAGGAAGGGCAGUAAGCGAAUACCUUGCUGUUUUGACGUUACCGACAGAAUAAGCACCGGCUAACUCUGUGCCAGCAGCCGCGGUAAUACAGAGGGUGCAAGCGUUAAUCGGAAUUACUGGGCGUAAAGCGCGCGUAGGUGGUUCGUUAAGUUGAAUGUGAAAGCCCCGGGCUCAACCUGGGAACUGCAUCCAAAACUGGCGAGCUAGAGUAGGGCAGAGGGUGGUGGAAUUUCCUGUUUAGCGGUGAAAUGCGUAGAUAUAGGAAGGAACACCAGUGGCGAAGGCGACCACCUGGGCUCAUACUGACACUGAGGUGCGAAAGCGUGGGGAGCAAACAGG
rnacentral:rRNA from 1 species